rnacentral:misc_RNA from 1 species
AAAAAAAAAACUGAUUUGGGUGACUCACUAAGCAUGCAAAAUAUACUUUAAAAAUCCAAUAUGGUCACCAAGUCAAAUUUUCUUAUUGAAAUUGACCAACAUUUGUUUCUAAUGAUUUUGUUGUGAUUUUAAUGGAUCUUGAGUGAUUUUUAAUGAUAUUAUCUGUCACAAUAUGUUAAUGAUGUUAAUAAGUGUAAUGAUCUAGUCCAACUCAUUAAGGUAUUGUAUGUUUUGGUCUAUUCGGUUCCACAAGGAAGAAGCCAGCUCAACACUAACAUUAGCUUUUGUAGGUGGAAAAGGACUGAUGGCCUUGUUUUUAAGAAGUGUCAGGACACUAGUGAAGCGACUUGGUCAAAAUUUGCCAAAAAUUAAUAGGACUAGCUAUUUUAUUUUAUUUUUUUGAUCCUUCAUGGAUCGAGCAAAAUAUAUGUCUAGUGUCAUCUUGUUAUUUAUUGUUUCAAAUUUUCAUUUUUCUUUUCCUAGUCAAUUGCGCAUGUUGGAUCCUACCAGUUAAUGAACCAAGAUUUCUUUAUAUAAUCAUAGGAGUAAUUUGUUCUUGGCAUGUUAAUUUGGCCACUUAAUUUUGCG